UACAGAGGUCUCAAGCGUUGUUCGGAAUCACUGGGCGUAAAGGGUGCGUAGGCUGCGUGGAAAGUCAGAUGUGAAAUCCGGAGGCUCAACCUCCGAAUAGCAUCCGAUACUACCAUGCUCGAGAGCUGUAGGGGGGUUUGGAAUUCUCGGUGUAGCAGUGAAAUGCGUAGAUAUCGAGAAGAACGCUCGUGGCGAAGGCGAAACCCUGGGCAGUUUCUGACGCUGAGGCACGAAGGCUAGGGGAGCAAACGGG
rnacentral:rRNA from 1 species